GACGAACGCUGGCGGCGUGCCUAAUACAUGCAAGUAGAACGCUGAAGGAGGAGCUUGCUUCUCUGGAUGAGUUGCGAACGGGUGAGUAACGCGUAGGUAACCUGCCUGGUAGCGGGGGAUAACUAUUGGAAACGAUAGCUAAUACCGCAUAAUAGUAGAUGUUGCAUGACAUUUGCUUAAAAGGUGCAAUUGCAUCACUACCAGAUGGACCUGCGUUGUAUUAGCUAGUUGGUGGGGUAACGGCUCACCAAGGCGACGAUACAUAGCCGACCUGAGAGGGGGAUCGGCCACCCUGGGACUGAGACACGGCCCAGACUCCUACGGGAGGCAGCAGUAGGGAAUCUUCGGCAAUGGACGGAAGUCUGACCGAGCAACGCCGCGUGAGUGAAGAAGGUUUUCGGAUCGUAAAGCUCUGUUGUAAGAGAAGAACGAGUGUGAGAGUGGAAAGUUCACACUGUGACGGUAUCUUACCAGAAAGGGACGGCUAACUACGUG
rnacentral:rRNA from 1 species